rnacentral:rRNA from 1 species
AAGCGUAAUAGCUCACUAGUCGAGUCGGCCUGCGCGGAAGAUGUAACGGGGCUAAACCAGGUACCGAAGCUACGGGUUCACACUUAGGUGUGAGCGGUAGAGGAGCGUCGUGUAAGCCAAUGAAGGUGAAUUGAGAAGUUCGCUGGAGGUAUCACGAGUGCGAAUGCUGACAUGAGUAACGAUAAAGGGAGUGAAAAACUCCCUCGCCGGAAGACCAAGGGUUUCUGUUCGACGCUAAUCGGAGCAGAGUGAGUCGGCCCCUAAGGCGAGGCCGAAAGGCGUAGUCGAUGGGAAACGGGUCAAUAUUCCCGUACCGGACAUGGUUGCGAUGGGGGGACGAAGAAGGCUAGGUGAGCCAGGCGUUGGUUGUCCUGGUGAAAGUGAGUAGGCUGAGGGUUUAGGUAAAUCCGGACCCUUUUAAGGCCGAGACACGAAACGAACUGACCACGGUCAGGAAGUCACUGAUGCCACGCUUCCAGGAAAAGCCUCUAAGCUUCAGAUCAUGUGCGACCGUACCCCAAACCGACACAGGUGGUCAGGGUGAGAAUCCCAAGGCGCUUGAGAGAACUCGGGUGAAGGAACUAGGCAAAAUGGUGCCGUAACUUCGGGAGAAGGCACGCCGGCGUAGGGUGAUGAGACUUGCUCUCUAAGCCCGAACCGGUCGAAGAUACCAGGUGGCUGCAACUGUUUAUUAAAAACACAGCACUCUGCUAACGCGCAAGCGGACGUAUAGGGUGUGACGCCUGCCCGGUGCCGGAAGGUUAAAUGAUGGUGUUAGCCGCAAGGCGAAGCUCUUGAUUGAAGCCCCGGUAAACGGCGGCCGUAACUAUAACGGUCCUAAGGUAGCGAAAUUCCUUGUCGGGUAAGUUCCGACCUGCACGAAUGGCGUAAUGAUGGCCACGCUGUCUCCACCCGAGACUCAGUGAAAUUGAAAUCGCCGUGAAGAUGCGGUGUACCCGCGGCUAGACGGAAAGACCCCGUGAACCUUUACUAUAGCUUCACACUGGACGCUGAUGUUGCCUGUGUAGGAUAGCUGGGAGGCUUUGAACUCCGGACGCCAGUUCGGAGGGAGCCAACCUUGAAAUACCAGCCUGGCAUCAUUGGCGUUCUCACUCAGGUCCGUUAUCCGGAUCGAGGACAGUGUGUGGUGGGUAGUUUGACUGGGGCGGUCUCCUCCUAAAGAGUAACGGAGGAGCACGAAGGUUGGCUAAGUACGGUCGGACAUCGUACGGU